GACGAACGCUGGCGGCGUGCUUAACACAUGCAAGUCGAACGAUGAAGCUGGAGCUUGCUCCGGUGGAUUAGUGGCGAACGGGUGAGUAACACGUGAGAAAUCUGCCCUUCACUCUGGGAUAACUGCGGGAAACUGUAGCUAAUACCGGAUACUUUCCCUGGUGGGCAUCCACUAGGGAAGAAAGAAUUUCGGUGAAGGAUGAUCUCGCGGCCUAUCAGCUAGUUGGUGAGGUAAUGGCUCACCAAGGCGACGACGGGUAGCCGGCCUGAGAGGGUGACCGGCCACACUGGGACUGAGACACGGCCCAGACUCCUACGGGAGGAAGCAGUGGGGAAUAUUGCACAAUGGGCGAAAGCCUGAUGUAGCAACGCCGCGUGAGGGAUGAAGGCCUUCGGGUUGUAAACCUCUUUUAGCAGGGAAGAAGCGAAAGUGACGGUACCUGCAGAAAAAGCACCGGCUAACUACGUGCCAGCAGCCGCCGUAA
rnacentral:rRNA from 1 species